rnacentral:rRNA from 1 species
GACGAACGCUGGCGGCGUGCCUAAUACAUGCAAGUCGAACGCAGUGGGGACGGGUGAGUAACACGUGGGUAACCUCCCAUCAGAGGGGAUAACACUUGGAAACAGGUGCUAAACCGAUACUGAUGGAUGGACCCGCGGUGCAUUAGCUAGUUGGUGAGGUAACGGCUCACCAAGGCCACGAUGCAUAGGCGGCCCUGGAGGGUGGUCGGGCACACUGGGAACGAGACACGGGCCCAGCUCCCACGGGAGGGAGGGAGAGGGGAUUCUCCGCAAAGGGCGGAAGUUGGGCCGGACCACGGCGCGGGAGUGGAAAAGGUUUUCGGAUCGUAAAACUCUGUUGUUAGAGAAGCGGUAUCUAACCAGAAAGCCACGGCUAACUACGUGCCAGCAGCCGCGGUAAUUC